GAUUAACUCUCCCCUGCCCAUUUUUAGAUUUAACCUCAAGAAGCACCUCACUUAUCCUUAAGUGGGGAGGUCUAUGACCCACCUGUGCAAAAGUGGGUGAUGUAUCAAAAACCACUGACUGCCUCUUUGACAGUCCCAAGCAAAAUUAUAAACCAUAAUUGAUCCAUGUAAAAGCAGAGGAAGGCACAGGAAGUGACAAAAAGAAGUAUCUUUAAAAGAAAUUACCACUUCCUUUGAAAUAAGGUCUUUGUUCUUUGGAGUUCUGAAUUCCAGUUGGGUCUUUCAUCUUGGAGGAGCUCUGGCUGAGGACUGCUUUCUACUGGGACUACCACAUGGGAGUGUUGACAAGAAAGAUGGAAUUGAAUCUGACCAGCUGAACUUGCUCCAGAAGAGACAUGUACUGAAUUAAAAAGAGAGAGGAGGGAUCAUCAUCAAUGUAGCUGUGAAUGUGACCAGAUGGCCAGUCACACAUGCUCACACCCGACUGAGAAACAAAACAAGGAAAGAAUCCAGUACAACUCCAAGGGACUCAUGAUGAAAAAGACUAUUCACUGCCAGAGAAGAAAUAGAGUCCAA
rnacentral:lncRNA from 1 species